AAAUUGAAGAGUUUGAUCAUGGCUCAGAUUGAACGCUGGCGGCAGGCCUAACACAUGCAAGUCGAGCGGAAACGACAACAUUGAAUCUUCGGAGGAUUUGUUGGGCGUCGAGCGGCGGACGGGUGAGUAAUGCCUAGGAAAUUGCCUUGAUGUGGGGGAUAACCAUUGGAAACGAUGGCUAAUACCGCAUAAUGCCUAC
rnacentral:rRNA from 1 species